rnacentral:rRNA from 1 species
AUGAUCCAGCGGUGGCAGCAAGAGGCAGUCCAUGAUGAAUCUAUGGUAUUGGAAGUUUUGGGUUCCUCGGAAUUAUUGGUGCUUAUCUACAAAGUUGAUUAUGCUUAUCAUUCUAGAUUUUCUGAUUCUCAGUCGAACAAUACCCUAGAUAACUACACGGUGGAUGCUAUUCAUUAUGUAAGGUAUUGGAAGUUUUGGGUUCCUUGGAAUUAUUGGUGCUUAUCUACAAAGUUGAUUAUGCUUAUCAUUCUUGAUUUUCUGAUUCUCAGUCAGAACAAUACCCUUGAUAACUACACGGUGGAUGCUAUUCAUUAUGUAAAGUGA